rnacentral:rRNA from 1 species
AAAGAUUAAGCCGUGCAUGUCUAAGUAUAAGCACUUUAUACUGUGAAACUGCGAAUGGCUCAUUAAAUCAGUUAUCGUUUAUUUGAUAGUACCUUACUACAUGGAUACCUGUGGUAAUUCUAGAGCUAAUACAUGCUAAAAACCUCGACUUCGGAAGGGGUGUAUUUAUUAGAUAAAAAACCAACGCCCUUCGGGGCUCCUUGGUGAAUCAUAAUAACUAAGCGAAUCGCAUGGCCUUGCGCCGGCGAUGGUUCAUUCAAAUUUCUGCCCUAUCAACUUUCGAUGGUAGGAUAGUGGCCUACCAUGGUGGCAACGGGUAACGGGGAAU